CUCGGGCUGAACCACUGUGCGAGGCAGGGGGAGGAAGCGGAUUCGCCCCUCCUGCGAAUAUUUAGUUAUCUUAAGCACUUAUAACGAGGGAUAAAGUGGACAUGCGAGUAUACCGCGUCCUCGUGCCCUUCCGUGUUCGGAGUGGGAGGAAAUGCGACGUGGACUUUAUGGGCCUGUUCCCCUUGCUGUGACAUGGCACCUCCCUUCCGACCGUUGACCGGGCUAUCUGGCCGCGAGGUCGCGUCCCCCAGCGGUGACUGCGAGAAUCGGCGGAGGUUUUGUCCUCAAGCUAUGCCUGAGGGUCUUUCCGGCCGCCCCGCCUUAAGAUGCCCUGGUGACAGGGAGCCAGUGGCCCUCAGCCAUGUGAAAGUAGCCAUUUUGGCUGGCCAGCGUACGAUUCUUCUCACGGCCUUAUUCAUCCGCGCCGCGCGCGCUGCUGCCGACUUGGAAUUCUGAGGCUUGCUAGUAAUUUAUUGGUUAAUGCCUCGGUGUUGAAAAUGGCCGAAAAGGAGAAUAACGAGAGUUCUGUCAUCGAUUCAAACGAUUGCCGCCCUACUUGCACCCCAGCGCUAAAGUUUCCGAAAGAGGCCCUUACCCUUUGUUGCUCUUGCAGUGGAGGCCGCGCUCCUGCCCCUUCAGCUCUGGCCUUCUCUCUGUCCAAGAAAGGAGGCCUCUCACAAGGCUGACCUUGCACUUGCGGACUUUCCUAUGUCUUUGAGGGGAAAAUAAUCGAUGUUUAGAGUGUCCUUUUCAUAUUUUUCUUGGGGGAGAAGCCCUUUUUAGCCCUUGUAUGUGAUUAACCAGAUCUCUUGAUAAGGUGAAAUGGACCUUGAUAAGGUCCGUUUCAUGAAGCUUUCACUUUAAAAUAUCCACCUGUGUUUGUCCCAGCUUUGCCCAUGAAGGGAAUUCCAGGGAGAGAAGAAAAAAGAACAAAACUUGAGCCAACAAGGAGUAGGGAGUCAGAAACGGAUUUCAUGGAGUCCCCGUUUGGAAUGAGCCCACAAGUGGAAAGGAGGGCAAGUGUCAACUUCCUCUGGUUCAGGGGCUGUGACUCAGUGCAGGUCUGACAAGGGCUGCUGUCCCGGUGGCCCCGAGUGCAUUAACAUGGGGUCUAAUGAUGUUACUCGGGGAACUGCCCGCUCCUAGUAUUAGAUGCACGUUACCCUGGGGAGAUGAAUGAGACCCCUUGGAGCAGCCUCCAGCUGCUUAACUCUCAGGGAAUUAGCUAAAUUCUGAGGAACAAUCCUGUCAGCGCGGGAGGAAAGGUGGGAGUUUGCCACUGGGAAACAAUGGAAGCACUUGGGCUAUGCUAGAGGCUUUGACAAAGAAGGUUAAGAAAGGGCUCAUCAUCUCUAGACUUCCUGACCACAUCCAUGGUGACUCAAAGCAGGCAGCAAGUUUGAAUCACAAAAGAGACAACAUGUUAUUUUUAUUUUAAUUUUUAAACUACUGAAAAGCAACUGUAUAAGACUUUCAUAAUUUGUUUUAGUGUAUUUCAUCUUUUUUUAUUUUUAAGCAGAAUGCCAAUUUAUUAACUCACAAUGAGUAAUAAAAUUGCCCACUGGAACAAAUUGCAAGUGUAGGCUGGUCAGUGUAUUAUCUCCCAGCAGAAAAAUCUAUAUGGGAAGCCAGAAUAUAAUUAGAAGGUUAUUUGAUUAAUAUGGAGGCAGAACAAGGGGAUUAGUUAAAUUUAAUGAUUAGCUCAUUAAACCCUGAUACCCCUAUGCUACCAACUCCACAGUGGGGUUGUUCCUGCCAAGGAGAUUAGAAUCAGCUGUUCAUACUUGCUUACCUACUUUUCUUUGUAGCUCAUAGCAUGUGUAAUAUAGUGGUUAAGAAUGAGGAAUUUUGGAGUCAAGCCUCUGCCGCUUAGUAACAUUGCAGUGCAAACAACCGCUAUAUUUCAGUGUCCUCAGUCUGUAAAAUUGGCUUACUAAUAGUACUAUCAUAGGAUUGCUUCAAGGAUUAAAUAAAAUCAUGCAAGUUAAGUCUUCAGCUCAGUAUCUAGAACAUAAUAGGUACUUUUUUUAAACAUCAGCUGUAAAUCAGCCACCUGGGUGGCUCAGUCGAGCGGCUGACUUCGGCUCAGGUCAUGAUCUCAUGGUUCGUGAGUUCGAGCCCCGCGUCGGACUCUGUGCUGACAGCCUGGAGCCUGCUUCGAAUUCUGUGUCUCCCUCACUCUCUGCCCCUCCCCUGCUCACGCUGUACGUGUCUCUCUCUCUCUGAAAAAUAAAAAAAAUAAAUAAACAUCAUCUGUAAAAAAUAACCCUUAAGUGGCUUCUAAUUGCUGUUAGGUUAGAAACUACAAUCCCUAUAUAUCCUGAAUGUGAUUUGGCUGCUCAUCUUAUGCCACUUUCUCUUCCUUUCUGCUUUUUACUUUGGAUUUCUUUUAAUUAGUAACAGUUACAUUCAUUAAUUGAUUAGUUUUGAAACAAGGAGAGACAUUUUCAUUGAUUUUAUAUUUUUCACAUUGUCCCUUACUCCCACAAAUAUUUAUGAGCCCUUCUGGCAGGAAGACCCAGGGACUGGUACUAUGACAUUCCUGGUCCCUGCCCACCCCGGGCUCUAAAUGGGAGGAGAUGCCUGGCUAACUCCUCCUCAUCCUUCCUCCCCAGCUCAGCUACUACUUCCUGGAUGAAGCCUUCCCCUACACUAAUUUCUCACAGGGUCCUGUGUUUCCUACUAAGUGGUAUUUGAAAUUACAGCACUUCUUGCUAUAAUUUGUAAGCUCCAUGACACUGGGAAGGUGGUCUGUUUUGCUCAAGCUUUGUUACUAUCUGACCCACAGAAGGUGAUUAGGAAUGUUUGAGGAGAGGGAACGAGAAGAGCUGGAGAGAGGAAAGGAAACAUUAAAAAAGAAUAAAUAAAGAUAAGGGAUGGCAGAAGGAAAUAGGGAAAUAGGAAAUCCUGGGGCUCAUGUAAAAUCAAUGAAAAGAGCUACAGCUUUAUCUUAGUUGCAAGCAUUAUAAUAAAAUUGAGGGCUCUUUACUAACAGGGAAGUUCUUUGCCAUCCUGCUCUGAGAAGGGAUUUCUGAUUCCAUACAUUAGUGCCCUUAAGGGUAAAAUAAACCUGAGAAGUUAUUGGUUUAUUUCAUAUUUAAUAUUAAUGAGAUUUGUUGAAUGUGAAAUGUUGUAAAGCACAAGAAAAAACCUAAUCACUGGCUAAAGGCUCCAGAUUUCUCAAAGAAUAUUAAUGUGGCAGUAGUCUUUGAAAGAGGCAAGGUUGGGAUUGGAUAAACUAAUGUUUGUGACUCACAUAGCAACUACAACAACUCCAGGUCUUAUCAGUUUCCCAGUGAAGAAGAGAGUUUCAAUAACUAAGAGAAAGCAUUUGCAGUGCAAGGAGUGUUUGGGCAGGAGAAAAGAGGAAAAUGACACUAGGUAUAUCAAAGAGCAAUAGAGGAGGUGUGGAGAUAUUGAGAAGAAAGCUGUGAGGCUAUGAAUCUUAAGAGUACCUUUUAUGUGAUGACAGGCCAAGAAGAAAGAAAUCUAGACCAGAUGUCUCUGUAACUGUUCCAGUCCUAUAGGGCCAAAGCUCAGACAUCUCAGAUGGCCUCAGACACAAGCUAGCUGUAGAGGGAUCUGAAACAAAUACAGCGUGAAUCCCCUCAUUUUUAGGCUUCUUGGAAUUUGCUUUUGUUUCUCGUUUUCUCUCCUAGUUCUUAAUCACAUCUUUGACAAUCCCAAUUAAAGUCGUGAGGGAUGAAGAACGCAUAGGGUAUAAUGAAGACACUAAAAAAGACAAUUAUAUAAUGAUGACAUUAUAUAUAAUUUAUAUCUAAUUGUGGUGGUCACUGUUCUAAUAUCUAUGCCUCAUGACAGUACUAAGGAAGAAGUUACUGUUUCUCUUCCUGUUCUACAAAUGAAGGUGCUAGCACUUAAGUAACCCAGGUCACAUAUCAAAUCAUUAGUGAAGCUGGGACUUGAGCCUAUGUCUAAGCUCUAAAUUUACACUCUUUGUUACAAGUCAAACAAUAAAUACUUCACACUCCCUGAGAUAAUUAAUGGUAAAAUUUAGUUUGUAUCCUUUCAUACCUUUUUCUAUUAACAGGCACACAUGCACACACUGGGGAACUGAAUGAGACCCUCUUGGAACAGCCUCCAGCUGCUUAACGCUCAGAAGAUUAGCCAAAUUCUGAAAAACAAUCCUGUCACUUAUGUGAAAGUAAUGUGAAACAUGGAUUUUUCUCUUAAAAAUUUUCAUGGCCACUUUUCCAGAAACUGUGGAGAUAAAUCAUUCUAUUUUUUUCUUUUUUUUAUUGUAGUAAAAUAAACAUAUUUAUAAUUUUAACCAUUUUUAAAUGUACAGUUUUGUGGCAUUAAGUACAUUCACAUGGUUCUGCAAAUUCAUUUUUCUAAUAACAGUGAAAUAUAGUAUAGUAUGACUGCCAUUCAGUUCAUUCAGCUGUUACCUUUACUGGUUGAUAUUCAAAUUAUUUCUCAUUUUUGCCCUUUGCACAAUGCCGAUGAACCUAACAUAUUUGUACAUAUACUUUUGCGAACCAAUGUUUUUAUUUUUGUGGAAAAGAUGUCCCAAAGUGGAAUUGCUGAGACAAAGGAAAAGUGCAUUUUUACAUAUCAUUAGUUACAGCCAGAUUACUUUCCAAAUGGCUGUCACAACUCACAUUCCUACCAGGAGGGUAUGACAAUAUCAUUUCCCAACUCUCUUGCCAGAGCUGAGUGUUACCAUUUGAAAAAAAAUUUGUCAGUAUGGGACCUCGUCAAGAUAAAAAACUUCUGCACUGCAAAGGAAACAGUCAACAAAACUAAAAGGCAACUGGUGGACUGGGAGAAGAUAUUUGCAAAUGAUGUAUCAGAUAAAGAGUUAGCACAAAUAAAAUCUAUGAAAAAACUUACCAAACUCAACACCCGAAAAACAAACAAUCUGAUAAAGAAAUGGGCAGAAGACAUGAAUAGAUACUUUUCCAAAGAAGACAUCCAGAUGGCCAACAGACACAUGAAAAGAUGCUCAACAUCGCUCAUCAUCAAGGAAAUACAAAUCAAAACCAUAUUGAGAUACCACUUUACACCUGUCAGAGUGGUUAGAAUUAACAACUCAGGAAACAACAGAUGUUGGCGAGGAAUGUAGAGAAACGAAACCCUCUUGCACUGUUGGUAGGAAUGCAAACUGGUGCAGCCACUCUGGAAAACAGUGUAGAGGUUCCUCAAAAAAUUGAAAAUAAAACUACCCUGGGACCCAGCAAUAGCACUACUAGAAAUUUAUCCAAAGGAUACAGGAGAGCUGAUUCAUCGGGGCACAUGUACCCCUAUGUUUAUAGCAGCACUUUCAACAAUAGCCAAAUUAUGGAAGGAGUCCCAAUGUCCGUUAACUGAUGAAUGGAUAAAGAUGUGGUUUAUAUACACGAUGGAAUACUACUCAGCAAUGAGAAAGAAUGAAAUCUUGCCAUUUGCAACAAUGUGGAUGGAACUGGAGGGUGUUAUGAUAAGUGAAAUAUGACAGGCAGAGAAAGAUAUCAUAUGUUUUCCACUCAUAUUGGAAUUUGAGAAACUUAACAGAAGACCAUGGGGGAAGGGAAGGGGAAAACAAUAGUUUCAAACAGAGAGGAAGGCAAACCUUAAGAGACUCUUAGAUACAGAGAACAAACUAAAGGUUGAUUGGGGGGAGGGGCAAGGGAGAGGGGAAAAUGGGGGAUGGGCAUUGAAGAGAGCACUUGUUGAGAUGAGCACUGGGUGUUGUAUGUAAGAAAUGAAUCAUGCUUCUGAAGCCAAGAGCACACUGUACACACUGUGGGUUAGCUAACUUGACAAUAAAUUAUAUUUAAAAAAAUUUUUUGUCAGUAUGACAAAUGAAAAAGGUUAAGAGAAUAUUUUUUAUCCUUGGGAGAAUUUUUUUAAAAAAGAGAAUAUCCAGAAGCCACAAAGGAAAAUACUGAUAAACUUAACUACAUUAAAAUGAAAAAUUACUAUAUAAGUAAAAUCCGGGGUGCCUGGGUGCCUAAGUCGGUUGAGUGUCCAACUUCGGCACAGGUCAUGAUCUCACGGUUUGUGAGUUCGAGCCCUGCGUCAGGCUCUGUGCUGACAGCUCAGAGCCUGGAGCCUGCUUCAGAUUUUGUGUCUCCCUCUCUCUGCUCCUCCCCCACUCACUCUCUCUCUCUCUCUCUCUCUCUCUCUCUCAAAAAUAAAUAAACAUUAAAAAAUUAUAAGUAAAAUCCAAAGACAAACAAUAGGAGAAAACAUUUGCAACACAUAUGACAAAUUGGUUAGUACCAAUUGAUAAGAAAGUGACAAACAGCCCAAUGAAAACUAGGAAAAAGAGUGUAAUUCACCAACGAGGAAAUGCAAAUUGUCCAUAAACGUGAAAAGAUGCUUAACCGCACUGAUCAGUAAAUUAAUUAAUUCAUUUGUAUGGUAAGUUUGGGAACAAGGAGGCACACUCCAUGUGAGGGAAGGGCAGAGGAGGAAUCUAAAUAAUUGGAUGCUCAGUCUUUAGCUCUUCUAUGAGUUUGGCCUCUGGUAAAGCUUUCGUGAUUCUGAUGAUGCUUUCCAGAAUUUCUUAAUGAUGCCAUUCAUGUGGGUAUCUGCUGUCAAAGGCUACAGCUCAUUAAUCAAGAGACUCCUGUAAGAAUUUAUUCUCACCGUUUCUAUUGCUGCUUAGUCCCACCACUUGGCUAUUGUCUACAGUCAUGUCCACUUGAAUCAUCAGUAUCUUUAUUGGGACAGAUUGAAAUUGUUUUUGCUAUUAUGUAGACUUACCACCAGCCAUCCUCAACUUUUAUCUGAAAGCCAAUGCCAUUUCCACAGACAAGCUAUCAUUUGGGGACUUACCUCUUUAGACCUCACCCCAACACUUCAGGAAGGCACAUACUCAUCUUUUGAGACUGGUCCUAGUUUAGACUUGCCCUGAAUUCAGGGCAAAAUCUGCCCCCGGAUGAAUGCCAACUCUGUCCGACUAGUACACCUACUUGCUUUUGCUUCCAGCUUUGUUUGCUUGGUACCUGGGCCUCCCUGACCUCCCUUUUCCUCUCAUUUUCCCCCACUUAAAAAAAAUUUUUUUUUGGCUUAAUGAUUGUGGCUUGACUUCCCACUAACUGAUACCUGAUUUGGCCUCAGGGUCCUUCCACUAUAAACUGCCUCCACAGGCAGCCAAAGGAAGAUCCUGCCCCAUUCCCUGGGCAACUAAGGAUGUUGGAGUAGAAGUAGGAAGGAAUUCUUGUAUCUUUUGUCACCCAACUCUACUCUGUGAGAGGACACAGCUGCCCCUAGGGCGGAGAUUGCUGGUGUGGUGGGGCAACUGGAAGAACUUGGCCCUGUCCUCAAUGGCGUUGCCUUCACAAUUCACAGAGACCUUAUACACUUGCUGGGGUUUUUGCCAUACUUUGAUAACUUUUCAGUCCUCAGGCUCCCCUAGGAAGCCUGAAUAGUUGAUGUUCUUACAAUCGCAUUUAACUAAAAAAGGCAAUCCACAAAGGAGAAAUGUAAAGAGAAUUUGGCUUAACUGUAUUCUGUGAUUAAAGGCCUAGCAGAGGAAAAGCAUACAAACCAGGCCAUGGUGAGGAUCUAUGAGGUUGAGAUAUUCUCAGACACGGGGAAGCAGGGUUCUGGUCUUUGCCCCCAGACGUGGUCUGAGUGAUGUUACCCUUUAUAAACCAUCUCAGAGGGUUCAUGGGAUGAUCUGCCAGAGUGAUCACCCAGUGUGUCCUGCUGGGAUCAUGCUUUCCUUUGUGAAGGUUCCUACAUUGGUACCUUCCUUCCAGGCUUCCAGCUGGGUUGCAGACAUCAACCCAACUGUCAUGGAUUAGCUUGUAUGUAGAUUAGAUCUAGUAGGAUGUGUUUCUGGAGUCCUUUGGCAAAUGCAUCAGCUGGGAUUCAGAGUAAUGGGUAACCUUUCUCGAAUACAUAAUUCAAAGGAAUAGUGUUGUGGUUUCAGCCCUGGCUGCACUUUAGAAUCCGCUGGAGCACUUUAAAUCAAGUGAUGCCUAAACCUGUAGAUUUAUUAAGUCAGAAUCUCUGUGCUUGGGACAAGGCACAGGUAGGUUUUCAAAGCAAAAGGUGAUUCUAAUGGACAACCAGGGUUGAAAACUACUGGGCUAGCCAGUUGUUGAUUGAAUCAAUGGUGAUAACCUUACAUGUUCAAGAGGCCUGCAAGAUCCCUAUUAUAUAUAUGAAGAGAAUGUUAUUCUUCAGGACCGUGGACACCUUUGUGGGAAGCAGUGGAUUCUCAAACUUUAAUGUGCAUACAAAUCACCAGAGGAUCGUUUUAAAUCACGUAUUUUAACAGGAUUCUGCAUUUCUAACAAGCUCCCGGGAGGUGCUGAUCCGGACUAUGCACCACAGUGAGAAGCAAGAAUCUAGACCAGCACUCUGCAAACUGGAAUAGGAUACAUGAAACUUCCAAGCUGGUAUUGAACAUCCUUGUACCUGUCUCCAGCUUCUAUGACAUGAAGAAGCUGUUGACUGCCAAGUAAAGACACAGAGAGAAGAUGCCCAUCUAUGAACCAAGAAGUGGGAUCUCAUCAGACACCUAAUCUCCCAGCACCUUGAUCUUGGACUUCCCAGCCUCCAGAACUGUUGAGAAAUCAAUGUUUGUUGUUCAAGCCCCCCAGUCAGUGGUGUUUUCUUAUAACAGCCCAAAUAGACUAAGACAAAGUUUAUCUUAGGGAGUAUUACCACACUGACUUCCUACAUCCUGAAAACUGAGAGAAUGUGGCCCUAGACAAAGCAAAAACAGAUUUGGGGACAAUGCUCAAAGAAAAUAAAUAAUUUAAAACUGUGGUCUGUCGAGAGGCACCUGGGUGGCUCAGUCAGUUGAGCAUCUGACUCCUGAUUUUGGCUCAGGUCAUGAUCUCACAAUUCAUGGGAUCGAGCUCUGCAUUGAGCUCUGCUCUGGCAGCUUGGAGCCUGCUUGGGGUUCUCUCUCUCCCUCUCUCUGCCCCUCCCCUCUUCUCUCUCAUGCAUGAACCCUCUCUCUCUCUCUCAAAAAUAAAUGAAUAAACAUUAAAAAAAACAUGACUGUAGUCUGUCCAGAUCACUUGCCUCAUCUUUCUCUAAACUGAUUUUUAACAAAGAGCUGCUCUUUUUUCAAAGAUGAGCAAUAGUCAGAAAGACUUAUGCAUAAUUAGUGCAAUUUUCAGUAAACAAGCUGGUAUUUGUAGCCUCUC